rnacentral:rRNA from 1 species
UACGAAGGGGGCUAGCGUUGUUCGGAUUUACUGGGCGUAAAGCGCACGUAGGCGGAUCGAUCAGUCAGGGGUGAAAUCCCAGGGCUCAACCCUGGAACUGCCUUUGAUACUGUCGAUCUGGAGUAUGGAAGAGGUGAGUGGAAUUCCGAGUGUAGAGGUGAAAUUCGUAGAUAUUCGGAGGAACACCAGUGGCGAAGGCGGCUCACUGGUCCAUUACUGACACUCAUCCGCGAAAGCGUGGGGAGCAAACAGG